rnacentral:rRNA from 1 species
GAUGAACGCUGGCGGCGUGCUUAAUACAUGCAAGUCGAGCGAGGACCACCCGGUGGCAACACCGGGUGACUCCUAGCGGCGAACGGGUGAGUAACACGUGGGCAACCUGCCCCCGACUCUGGGAUAAGCCCGGGAAACUGGGUCUAAUACCGGAUACGAGCCUCCUCCGCAUGGUGGAGGCUGGAAAGGGUCUCCGGUCGGGGAUGGGCCCGCGGCCUAUCAGCUUGUUGGUGGGGUGACGGCCCACCAAGGCGACGACGGGUAGCCGGCCUGAGAGGGUGAACGGCCACACUGGGACUGAGACACGGCCCAGACUCCUACGGGAGGCAGCAGUAGGGAAUCUUGCGCAAUGGGCGAAAGCCUGACGCAGCGACGCCGCGUGCGGGACGAAGGCCCUCGGGUUGUAAACCGCUUUCAGCAGGGACGAAGCGAAAGUGACGGUACCUGCAGAAGAAGGUCCGGCCAACUACGUGCCAGCCGCCGCGGUAACAC